CUGAAGUUUGUAAAAAUAUGAGGACUGCCUACAUCCUCUGUCACAGUCAUUGCACAUAUAGGGUUUCUCUCCUGAGUGGAAUUUCUCUCUCUCUUGCUUGCUUUCUCUCUCUCCUUCCUUCCUUCCUUCCUUCCUUCCUUCCUUCCUUCCUUCCUUCCUUAACCUUCCUUCCUUCCUUCCUUCUUUCCAUAGGGAUACUCAAGAGGCAGUCAUGGCAUAGGAGAUAGAGGGGGAAAUCCAGGAGUAAGGAAGACGUGGGUUCAAGACCCCCCCCCCCAAUUUCUAAUGACUGGGUGACUGGUCAAAUCACCUCACCUCUCAGUAUCUUGGACAACUCUCUAAGACUAUAAAUUGUCACAUAGUUUCAUAUUGGCAUUGGUGGAGGGAAACCACUUGGAUGGAGAGCCUCAUCAAUGAAAUUAGAGUUUUAUAUAAAAAAUGGGGACAGAAACAUUCACAUUGACAGAAUUAUUGUAAGGAAAGCUUUGAAAUGUUAAAAGUUCAUAAAAUAUGAGCUAUCCAUAUUUAAGGGAGGGAGGCUAAGAAUUCUCCUUUCUUGAUUUGUGGCUAUAAGGCAAUCCCUGGGUCUCAAGAUCCAGGAUUAUCCCUAGAAUCUGAGGAUUUGGAUCUUAAAGAGACUUGAAAGAUCCUCCAUUCUGACCUUCCUCCUUUUACAGAGGAUGCCUACCAGCUGUUUCCAGAACUUGACAUGCCUUCUCCCAUUUCCAUGCCUUGAAUCCAUUCUCUCUUCACUUCUGCCCUAUAGCAUCUUGACCUUUCUUCAGGCCACAUCUCAGCUUCUGCCCUCUAUAAAAGACACUUUCCCGCAUCCUCUCAGUCAUUAGUGAGCUCUCUCUCCUUGAAUAGAUGGCACUUACUUGUCUUGGAGCAUGCUGUAUCCAUCUAGUACAUGGGCUCCUUGAGGGACCAUUUUGGUUUUUGUCUUCAAAUCAGCCCCAGAAUAGUGCCUGGAACGUGGUAGGAACUUAAUAAAGCUUUUUACACUAAAGAAAAGGAAAUCCA
rnacentral:lncRNA from 1 species